AUGUUAAAAGCCUGGUUUGCAAUCUUCCUAUGUAAAGCCCAUUGUUCACCUCGCAAACCAACAACGCCUUGUCCAAACAACUGCUUAGUUUGUGGAUCAAAUUCAACUUUAUCCACUGCUUUAUUUAUGAAAAGCCCUUUAAUUAUAUCCGGGUCAGAAAUAGCCAAUCGGGGCUUCGACCCGAACCACCACAAAAAAGUCUUCCCGUAAACGGCGGACCAG
rnacentral:misc_RNA from 1 species